CCAGUGAAUGACAAGGUGUGAGGCUGCCCUGCGUUAAACCUCGGCUGGAUCUCUGCCGUGCCGCUGAGGGGAGAGUAUUCCCACCUUGGCUCUGGAUUUUUUUUUUUUUUUUGACGGAGUCUCACUCUGUCACCCAGGCUAGAGGGCAGUGGUGCAAUCUCGGCUCACUGCAAGCUCCACCUCCCGUGUUCACGCCAUUCUCCUGCCUCAGCCUCCUGAGUAGCUGGGAUUACAGGCGCCCGCCACCACACCUGGCUAAUUUUUUGUAUUUUUAGUAGAGACGGGGUUUCACCGUGUUAGCCAAGAUGGUCUCCAUCUCCUGACCUCGUGAUCCGCCCACCCCGGCCUCCCAAAGUGCUGGGAUUACAGACGUGAGCCACCGUGCCCAGCCUGGGCUCUGGAUUUUUAAAGGGGAUGCACCGGUGUUUCCCCAUUUUUGGUCUGCUGUAGGUUUUUGGACCUGCUGCAGGGGAAGGGGCCAGGAGGCCAGGAGACUGGACAGCAGGAGGCUCGAGGACCACGCAGACACUGGCCUUGGGAGCACCCACCUCUCUGACCCGCUCCAGAGGGGGCUAGAGACCUGGAGGCAAAGCCCAGGGUCAGAAACCACAGAUGGCUCCUAAGGCCAGGUGGGCAGCUGAACCCAGCAGGGUGAGGAGCAGGAGGUAUCCCUGGGCCCCAGCACCCACCCAGUGUGGUGCCCCCAGAGCUGGCCUGGAGGAAGAUGCCCCCCCUGCUAGACCUCAGGGCUGACAAGCCCCCUGCGAGGGGCUGCGGGGCCAUGGGUGGGGGCUGCUUUCUCCCGGCUCCCUGGGCCCCAGGGCCCCUCUCCUCAGCCUGGAAGCCCACAUGCUCCUGACUCCAUGGCUGUGGUUCUUGGCCCACACUCUGGGUUCUGGAGGCUGAGGGGGCUCCGACGGGG
rnacentral:lncRNA from 10 species